GGGGGCGUAAUGGUUUCGACGGGGAUUUUGAAGCAUAGAGAGCGAGCCGCAGCGGGUACUGCGUAAAAAACCCAAACUUUAAAAUUAAACGCUAACAAUAAUUUAGCUUACGCUGCCUAAUUAACGGCAGCUGUCCUAACCCGUCUACCGCAAUCGGAUAAAGGGCAUCAUCAUUCGCGGUGAACGUGAAUCCAAAAAGCUUUGAUUGGGUCAUGAAUUUAUGAAGCUACUUGCACUCAGAGUUUGUCUGAGGACUUUGAGUGCGGGGAAUGUCAACCACAGACUACGCUCGUAGCGCUCGGUGUGAAUAGGUUUUCGGACGCGGGUUCAACUCCCGCCGCCUCCACCA
rnacentral:tmRNA from 1 species